CGGGGAUACCGAUUGGAAACGAUCGUUAAUAUCGCAUAACAUAAUUGAACCGCAUGAUUUGAUUAUCAAAGAUUUAUCGCUGAAAGAUGAGCUCGCGUCUGAUUAGCUAGUUGGUAAGGUAACGGCUUACCAAGGCGACGAUCAGUAGCCGGACUGAGAGGUUGAUCGGCCACAUUGGGACUGAGACACGGCCCAGACUCCUACGGGAGGCAGCAGUGGGGAAUAUUGCACAAUGGAGGAAACUCUGAUGCAGCGAUGCCGCGUGAGGGAGGAAGGUUUUAGGAUUGUAAACCUCUGUCUUCAGGGACGAAAAAAGACGGUACCUGAGGAGGAAGCUCCGGCUAACUACGUGCCAGCAGCCGCGGUAAUACGUAGGGAGCGAGCGUUGUCCGGAAUUACUGGGUGUAAAGGGAGCGUAGGCGGGAUCGCAAGUCAGAUGUGAAAACUAUGGGCUUAACCCAUAAACUGCAUUUGAAACUGUGGUACUUGAGUGAAGUAGAGGUAAGCGGAAUUCCUAGUGUAGCGGUGAAAUGCGUAGAUAUUAGGAGGAACAUCAGUGGCGAAGGCGGCUUACUGGGCUUUAACUGACGCUGAGGCUCGAAAGCGUGGGGAGCAAACAGGAUUAGAUACCCUGGUAGUCCACGCCGUAAACGAUGAUUACUAGGUGUGGGGGGACUGACCCCUUCCGUGCCGCAGCAAACGCAAUAAGUAAUCCACCUGGGGAGUACGACCGCAAGGUUGAAACUCAAAGGAAUUGACGGGGGCCCGCACAAGCAGUGGAGUAUGUGGAUUAAUUCGAAGCAACGCGAAGAACCUUACCAGGUCUUGACAUCGUAUGCAUAGCUCAGAGAUGAGUGAAAUCUCUUCGGAGACAUAUAGACAGGUGGUGCAUGGUUGUCGUCAGCUCGUGUCGUGAGAUGUUGGGUUAAGUCCCGCAACGAGCGCAACCCUUACUGUUAGUUGCUACGCAAGAGCACUCUAGCAGGACUGCCGUUGACAAAACGGAGGAAGGUGGGGAUGACGUCAAAUCAUCAUGCCCCUUAUGACCUGGGCCUCACACGUACUACAAUGGCUGUCAACAGAGGGAAGCAAAGCCGCGAGGUGGAGCGAACCCCUAAAAGCAGUCUUAGUUCGGAUUGUAGGCUGCAACCCGCCUACAUGAAGUCGGAAUUGCUAGUAAUCGCAGAUCAGCAUGCUGCGGUGAAUACGUUCCCGGGCCUUGUACACACCGCCCGUCACGCCAUGGGAGUCGGUAACACCCGAAGCCUGUAGUCUAACCGCAAGGAGGACGCAGUCGAAGGUGGGAUUGAUGACUGGGGUGAAGUCGUAACAAGGUA
rnacentral:rRNA from 1 species